GUCAGUAUGGCCGAGUGGUUAAGGCGCCAGACUUGAAAUCUGGUGGGAAUUUCCCGCGUAGGUUCAAAUCCUGCUGCUGACG
rnacentral:tRNA from 1 species